CUGGCGUGCAGUGGCACCAUCUGGGCUCAUUGCAACCUCUGCCUCCCGGGUUUGAGAAAUUCUCCUGCCUCAGUCUCCUGAGUAUCUGGGAUUACAGGCACCCGCCACCACGCCUGGCUAAUUUUUUAAAUAUUUUUAGUAGAGACAGGGUUUCACCAUGUUGACCAAGCUAGCCUCAAACUCCUGACCUCAGGUGAUCUACCCACCUUGGCUUCACAAAGUGCUGGGAUUACAGGCAUGGGCCACUUUUCUAUUUGUUUAUUUUUGUGUUGGUUUUUCUAUUUUUGGUGUUUCUGGAUCAUGGACUUUGAAAAACUUCCUGGCUUAGCAAAUUAGUGUCCUUGUUUCAGUAGCUUCUGCUUGAAGAUUUCUGCUGUAGGCAAUGAGCCAACUGGCCAGAAAAUAUCCAGUUAUGCUCUGCAGGUUCAUGGUGGAUGGGGACUUUCACUGUUGUUUAGAGAAACCAUUGAGUGGAUAACGUUCCAAACAGCAAAAUCAAAUGGGGAUUCUGUACACUCGGGAGUGUCGGCUCUGGACAAAUUAGGUUGCACUUGAUUGUAAGAAGCCAGGCUUUAUUAAAAUAGAAUAUAAAUAUUAACAGAAACGGACUGCUUCUAAUCCCCACUACCGUUGGCCAGGGAGGCCUCUCUUCAGGUUUUCUGAAUGGAACUAAAUAAGGAGCCCAUGUUACCGCGGAAAGGGCACUGUGAUUAGGAGCCUUUCAUGAGCUUCCAUGAACGUCUAGGGCUUGGAAACUUCAUUUUCAAAAUAAGGCUGUUGGAUUAGAUGAUUUUCCCAACCCCUAACCCUCUGUGUUAAUGAAUGGACUGACUCUAUAAUCAUGUUCCUUGGACAUUUCUAUGGAAACACUGAGCCAUCAUAAGGGAGGCCUUCAUUCUGAUGUAACAAAGCCAGCUGUGUCCACAUGAGAACAUUGGCAAGAGUGGGGACAUGGAAGCUGUGUUCAGGCCGGUCCACGCUGGGUGACCCAUGUGACCUGCUGCUUAGCAAUUCCUUGUCACCAUCUUCCCUUCUCAGCCUCUUUUUUCAUGCUAACAGGCAUAAAUGAAAUGAUAAAAGUUUGAGCUCUUCUCGUGGAAUUCUCGUGAUACAGAUAUGUGCUACAUGUUCAUCAUCUCGUUGGUCUUCACCAUGAUAACUGUGGAGUAAGAAUUAUAAGCAGGUCACAGAUUAGGGACUUGAGAUUGACAGUUUGGCUUCCCUGUUCUGGGUGGCAAAGCCUGUGGAGUACUCACCUACCUGCUGCAUGAAGGCAGCAUGGAGGGACUGUGGUGGAUUAUCUGCAAAGAUGGCCAAAAUUCUCUCAUCCCUGCAGGCACAUACAAGAUGCCAGAAUCAGUCAAAACUAAGCUCACUGUCCUUGCUAAUAUUCUGCCCCAGAGAAGAACUGAAGCUCAGCUCUUCACCCUACAGAAAGCCUGAAUUUUGUAAAUGUUCUGCUUAGAAUGAGGAAGAAAGAUGAAGAAUGAGGAGGAAGAAGGAAGGAACGAGAGAGAGGUUGUUGCAUGGCAUAAGUAAAGUGACAGUUAUAGGAUACAUGCAACUUUUCAGUGACAAAGAUCUGUGCAGCAUCGACAGUACUGCCUAAUGAGGUUUCACCAUAAUGAAGUAUCACAACCAGUUUACAGACCAGAAAACUGAGACACAGGAAGGGGUGGUGACUUGAGCAAGGUGCAUCAGCUGGAAAUUGAAGUAUACAGAAUGCUUAUUUGGUCUACUCAGUAUCAUCCUAAAUGUAUGUACCAAUGCUUAGGAGUUUGCAGUUCACCCGCAAACCUCAGCGAUCCAAGCUCCCCUGGAUGACCAUCACUCACCAAGAAAAGAGCAAUAACAGGACCUGUUUUGCUAAUCCAGGACUGUUCUCCAGCACUAACUCUAAAUAAUCCCUUCUGCUAGAGUCCACUUUCUGGAACCUGUUGUGAGUAUUGUGAAUUGUUCUCCAACCUCUAUUCUAGUUAUCUCAUUUCCAUUGAGACUAGCAAAAGCACUUGCUUGAGAUUCUGUGUUCAAGUUUCAACUUUAGCAACUCACUUUUCCUUUAGGCCUCCGUUUUCAACGUUUCCCAAACUUGGUCCGUUGUGUGAGCUGGCUGAUAAAAGUUCCAGGUAACCUUCCUUGUUCUCAAGGUCCAUUUUCCAGGAAAAUCUGAGUCAUGGUGCUGGGGAGGACACUUAAGUACAUCAGUCAAUCAGAUGAUUAUUAAAUUUAGGAAAUAGUAGAUCAACUGGAUUAACUGGAUUAAAAUGCAGAAUCCCAGGCCCCAGCCCAGACCUACUGAACCAGCAUCUGCUCUUUAACAAGAGCCCCAUGUGAUGUGUGGGACAGAAAACUUUGUGAAGCACAGGGCUAGACAGUCUCUAAAGUCUUCUGCAGAUCAGAAACGCAGCAAUUCUGAGGUUUUCUUCAAUUUUCUAAUGUUAUUUCCAGCUCUUUCCCCUCUCUUCUUUCCUUGAUAUGCUGAGGAAAACUUUCUCUGUGAUAAGCAGAGUAGGUGUCUUGUUCUGUGAAUUUCUAAUGUCUCUGCAAGGGCUUCAUAUGUUGAAGGAAGUUGGGACUCAGGGGGUUAACUGCAAAACACAUUACCAUAGGACAGCUGCCACGGCAUCACAUUCUAAAAUCUGAUAAAUGAAAAAUGGGCAUGGUAUCAAAUUUAAUCACAUUUGUAUUCAGAUGUUGUUGAGAGCAGACACUGAUUUAUGAACUAGCAACAGACACCAGAUUUCCUGCCUAUGUUAUAUACAUAUGAAUGGGUGGACGGAUGGAUAGAUAAACAGACAGUGAAAUUAUGUUGCAAAUUACAUGGCACCAGACCUGUUUAUAACCUAGAUCUCAUCAAACUAAUAUUAAAAACUACUACAGAUAUAUUUUUUUUUCCUGGGCAGUAGCUGGUGGUCUUACUUUUACCCUGAAAAACAGACUUCUUUCAAAGGAUUCUCUUUCUUAAUUUGUGCAGCAUUGAAAAUGCUUCUGCUUUGCUCAGUAGAUAGCAUUAUCAUAUUUAUAUACAGAAAAAUGUUCUUUAUGGGAUGGAAAAGGAUAAAGGGAUGUUCAAACCAUUGCUGCGUUCUGUUGCGCACCCUCCCACUCCCUGACAACUCCGUUAAAACAUCAACAGUACAAGGGGCCACUGUAUAUUUCUGGGAUUACACACCAAGAUCUAGGCUUUUAGAGGACCUGUGAAGGGCUGAGGUGGAAGAGGAGAACAUUCAACAUGGAUUAAUAAUAAAAAAAUUAAGCAACUUUCCUCUCAGUUCAGCAAAGUAGGGAGAUCUAGGUUCAGUGUUUCUUGAUAUUUACAGUUUUGAAGGUAAAUCACUUGGCUGAUGAGGUUCUCUAUUUUGGGGCAGAUACUGCUUAAUAUCACCAGAGACAUCUAGCCAUCUUCGCAGUAUGUUUUCUUUACUACGCCUUUUCCUUGUAGAGACUUCCUGUAUUUGGCAAAUUUAAUCAAAUUUUAUUUAUCUUUCAGAGGUCACAUAGGUACAUUCACUCACUUUCAACCAAUAUUUCUUAAGACUGUGUUACGCUGUGCACAGGAGACAAGACACAGAAAUAGAUGACCCAUGAUUUGUCUUCUUUUUAUUUAAAAAAAAAAAAGAAGAAGAAGCUCUGUAUCUGUGAACAAGUCAGAUAGACACAGAUGAUUUCAGCAUAAUUAGGAGGAAUCACUGAGCUCAGCCCAGGGAGCUAGACUAGCUCAGAGGAGUACCUGAUUCACACUAGGAAGGUAUUGGCACAGGCUUCCUGGAAGUGGAGACACUGAAUGGAAUUCUAAAGGAUGUGAUACCUUCUACAUGUUCUUUAAGAUACAGGAUGGUGGGUGUUCUUAAUGGAGAAGUAGGAGAAAAGGGUUUUCCUGGUGUGAGAAACAAUGGAGAUUAGAAAAAGCAUGAUAAUCAGAGGACAAUUCACAGCUGUGGUAUGACUGGAAUAAAACCAUCCAUCCUCCAGAUGCCAGGAGGCAGGCACAACAGUCACUGUCCUGUGGCCUUCAUUCCUUGGGGAAAACACCACAAUGGUCAUCACCUGAACAAAUGGAGUGGGGAGAUGUGGAAGUGAAAGAAAGGGAACGCUGAAGAAGACAGUAUCAGAGACCCAGUAGCAAUGAAACCUCAAUUGGCACAGAGGAUUUGGGAAGAAGGACCCAGAUUUGAGUAUUUUCAGCUCUAGGUGCUGAAGAUGUUCAUGACCAAAUAGACAUGGUAGUUGAGGGAAAGAGGGUUUUAGGGAGCCCUUCUCCUUGGAAUUCUAGGUAAGUGAUGAUGCUAUUUACUAAGAGAAGACAUCCAGAAGAAGGAGCUUGCAUUGUCUUUAUUUUGAUUUUGUUUUGGUGGAAUUGAGAAUACAAUGUAUUAUUACUGUGGAGGAGGUGGAAAUAAUGCCAACUUAAACCUUCCCUCCCCUAGGGAGCUCUCCCUAACAAUCUGGGCUGGAAAGAGUGUGUUCCUUUAGGAAACAAAGCAUGUAUUACCCAUUGAGAAUCCAUUAUUACUUUGAAUUUUUAGUUUUGUUUUCAUGUGUUGCUUUAUCUUCUUAAUUAAAUUAUCUCUUCUAGGGAGAAGACAUCUUACUCUUAUUGGAUCAUGCACAGUGCCUGAAGCAUUCUGUUGCAUGUAGAAGGUAUUGGUGGAUGUUUGUUAAUUGAUUUGUUGAAUUUUUUUUCACUGAACACAUUCCCAAGAAACAGCCAAACCCAGAGUAAGGAAACCAUCUGGCAAGAACCGCUCAAGAGAAUGCUUCUUGGCUCUCACAUCUUAAAGGUCUUAAAAUAGCUAACAUUUAUUGAACAUUUUACUAUAUGCCAGGUAUUAUGGGCUAAGCCCAUUAUAUAUGUGAUCUCAUAUAAUUAAUCUUCAAAACAAUCUUGUGUCAUAAAUGCUACAAAUACUUUGAUUUUAAAACUGAUGAAAAUGAGAUUCAGGGAGAUUGUCAUUUUAUUUGCAGUCAGUAAAUUGCAGAUGUAAGAUUCAAAACCAGACUUCACAUCUACCGACUUCAGUGACCCUGAAAUUUGUUCACAGAGAGCAUUUAACAUAACUGUCUUCAUCAUCUCCUUCUCUACAUUAAAAAUUAUGGGUAAGUCUCUUGCUUUUCCAGUCUUCAUUGCUUUUCUAGUCUUAGAAAUAUUAUACAAAGACAAGAAAUACAAGAGACUUACUCAUAGCUAUGUGUCCAGAGCUAGAGUUAGAAUUCGCAUCUAGAUCUUGAGACAGGUAACUUCUUACUCUACUGCGUUGGUUUUAAGACAAAUCUGUUGAGGCAAACUUUUUGCUGGGCACUGUAGGCAACAGAAAGAAACUGAGGGUCUGCUAUUUGUCUCCAGAGGCCUUACAAACUGGUAGAAGAUGCAUAACAGAAGAGCUUAUGAAGUUAAAGAUGACAGCAUAGCAGCACUGGUGAGAUCCUUUUAGACAUAACAUGGUAGGAAGGACUGUUUGACAAAGUGAAUGCCUGUCUUUCAGAAUAUACAGGGAGGUGUGAUGUACCCAUUAUCACAAGCAGAUGGAAUCCCUAUAGAGUCGGAUCUCAUCUACAUAUCACCUAUUAUAUGUAGUUAUUGAUGGAUAAAUACUUCAACAACUAAAGGCAGAAAGAGAGCAGGUGGGCAUAGGAGUUAGUAAACAUCUCACUGCUAUUGUUUUUCAAGGUGAAGCUAGAGAAGAAGAUUCCUAAGAUGUAGGAGGAAAUUAUCAUACUGAGUAAGAGGGUGCAAUUUUGGAAGGUUGGACUUGAUGACCUCUCCAGCAUUAAGGGUGAAUGAUUCUUUCUAGGGAUUUGGUUUGUUGCCAGAGAGCCUGGCUACCUGCUAUUUAGUUGCUUUGUUGAUUAGCAAAUUUCCUCUGAAAUAUUCCUCACAUUCAUGAGCCCCCUUCCUGGGGUAGGUGGACCCAGAAAAUGUUUUCUCCCAUUUUAGUUGGCCAUGUGUUUGAAACUCAGAUGGACCUAAGUCUUUCAGCAUCAUUGUCACUACUGUAUGUCUAUCCAUAAAAAGAAGGCAUAAGACUCUCUGUAGUAUCACGAAGUUAGCCAUUUGGGAUUGCAAAAACUUUCCUCUUUCCAUUGGAGAGAAAUAGUUUAGAUUAGAUGGUGGAGCCCCUACCACAUCUCCCAAAAUUUAAAUUAUAACAUGAACAGUAAUUUAGGUCUGAUUUUAAUAUUUUGUCAUUCUUAAACCUAAUAAAAGCUACAUCUUCCUAAAGACCCUCCUAAUUUUUAUUAUGGACAGUUCACAAAGACGUUAUUGGUGAUUCAAUCUUGAGUCAUGAAAAGUCAACCUUGAGCCACAAAAAGUCAACCUUGAGCCAAGCAGAUUGGAGAGUCAUACAUGCCAUUCCUGGGACCAUCAAAAAUGGCAGAGGUCACACAAAAAGGCAAAACUUUUAAGAGGUGUUUUAAACGUCGUAUGGGCCAAAGAGAAGCUGGAUUUCCUAUUGGAGUCACCUGUAACACACGUGUGACGAAAUUGGCCUGUGAGGACAAGGCAGUGAGCAGAGAGGACAGCAGUCCUUAUGAGAUCAAGCUCUAAGGUGAGGUUGCAGGAUCUGAAGGCCAGCUCCCCUGCUUGCUCACUGUAUGACUUUAGGCAAGUCAUUUUACUUCUGAAUGAUUCAUAUUGGAAGUAAAAUAUAUGAUUGGUUAAAAUAGUUUCUAAAUUUAUUAUGGGGAUUAAAUGGACCAAUAUACUCGAAGCUUUUCAGACAGAGUCUGGCGCAAAGUAAGCACUUAGAAAAAUGUAAGCUUUUAUUAUAAUAGAAACUAUUAAUAUAAUAAUUAUUCCUGGGUGUAAAAUUAGGGAAAAUCAUUAGAAUAGAAAGGAAGAAAGAAACAAGAAUCAGAAUAGGAGCAAGAGAGAUUUCAAGGAAGGGGUAAGGAUGUUUGGGAGAUACUAGUUUUCCCCUAGACUGGUAUCCAAACUAGAUUUUAAAAUCUUGAGAUAGGGCCUUGUCUUUUAUGAUGGGCAGGAUUUCUUUGCUCUUAGCAUUGAUAAAAUGUGGCAUGACCAGUGGCUGGUUGAAUGAUGUAUAGCUCCAGCUGGAAUCAAGAUCACAGUAUGCUGACCUCUGAACUUUGUAAGAUUGCAAUGAUUACUCUUCUUCCACUCAGAGGCUCAUUAGUGUCAAGCCAUGGUUGUCCCUGUUUUGAUGAGUAUUCACCACCUGGCUACAUGUGACCUGGCUUCUGGUUAUAACCAUACCAGCCUGCAUGACUUCCCAUAGCAUGCUGCCAUCAGACACUGCUCUCCCAUCUUCUGCAACAUGAGAUAACUUUUCACAAUUGGGGCAUGAGGGGCAGUGCUAGUGGAUACAACAUUUUAUGUCAAAUCAGGGGUUCUGCAAAAUGCCCCUGGUUAAUUUAGUCCAGAGUCUAAUGUAAAAAGGUAUCUGAGUAGCACAAAAUUGCAUAUAUAAUUGUUUUCCAUCAUUAUUUUAUAACUUUCCUCAAUAUCAUCCAGGUAUCCUAGACACAUUUGGAGAAUUCACCUGAGCUACAGGAUGUGGUAAGAUUUGGUGAGCAGGUGGUGAUUCUUACAGAAUCCCUCACACAUUCAUGCACAGAACUUCCCCAGCACACUCCCAGGUAGGACCACUUCCCUCUUCAUUGUGCAAAGAUUCACCACUGGUUCCAGCCUUCUCUGGCACUUUUAAGAUAUGCAUCAGGUUUUAUUCAUCUCUGAUUUUCUAGCCUCUGGCAGACUACCUGGUGUACCAGAGGCUUUGUAAGUAAUAGUUAAAUAAAGAGAAAACAUUAAAGCAACAUUGAAGGAAGAGGGUUAACCAGACUACAGAUUUGAGACCUCUAUCUCAGAGGGCCAACAGUCAUGUUGAUGUUUUCAUGCUUUCUUGGAUAUAAAAGUCACACUACACUUUCCCUCUCGGUGACCAUGUACAAAGGUUCAUUUAUAAUUAAUAGACAAAGUCUUUAAUAAAGCAAACCAAAUGUCAUCUUUCCUUUUUUCUGCAAUAUGAAGUCAUUAUUUCCACUGGAUGAAAGCACUUUUGACCUAUAAAAAUAAAAAAGUGAGAUGUUAGGUGACUUCAGUGCAUAAAAAUACUGUUUCUUGUUACCAAUAAUAUAUACUCAACCAUCGUCUUCAUCUUUAUCAUGGUCUCCUGGGGCAAACUGAAUCUGAGUUAGCAGGGUUUAAUAAAAGUUAUUCUGAACAUCUGGGUCAUUGUAGAGACACAUAUUGAAAAUUGAAACACUUUAUAUGUCAACAGAUGUUCUAGAAGAAGCCUGUCUAUUUUCUCUUAUUCAUUUAUGAGUCCAAGGAGAGGAAAAGUUCUUUGUUCAUCUCUCCAUCCAUGAUAUUAUGCUCCAUGCCUGAACCUCACCUAAUGCCUACUAUGUUUUAC
rnacentral:lncRNA from 10 species